rnacentral:tRNA from 5 species
AGAAUUAUAGUCAAUUAUGAUUUAUGAUUUGCACUCAUAAGGUGUCGGAAGACUAAUUUU